rnacentral:tRNA from 1 species
GCCCCCAUAGUUCAAUGGAUAGAACGAGGGACUCCUAAGCCCUAGAUCCAAGUUCGAUUCUUGGUGGGAGCA